UGCACGGUCGCCAAGCGGAAAGGCACGCGGCUGUUAACCGCGCAUCCGGGGGUUCGAAUCCCUCCCGUGCAGCCA
rnacentral:tRNA from 1 species